AUAGUAACCUGGCAGGGACGACACCAUGAUCACAAAGGAGUUCCCAGGGUGAGGUUUAUCUGUGCACUCCCACUGUCCCGACCCGUGAUGUGCCCAAAGUGGGAAACUCAUGGCAUAAUCAGUGGUGGUUGGGGACUGCGUUUGCACUCUCCCCUG